GGAGUAGGCUGGGCGGUCGCCCGUUUGCCGGCAGGCAAACGAGAGGAAAGUCCGGGCUCCACAGGACAGGAUGCCGGGUAACACCCGGCGGGGGUGACCCCAGGGAGAGUGCCACAGAAAACAAACCGCCAGCCGGAUGGCACCCGUUCAUGAUCCUUCGGGAUCGGUGCCAUUGCUGGUAAGGGCGAAACGGUGCGGCAAGAGCGCACCGCGCUUUCGGUAACGAAAGUGGCAGGGAAAACCCCAUCCGGAGCAAGACCAAAUAGGGGGGCGUCAAAGACGGUCCGUCCAGCCCCCGGGUCGGUCGCUAGAGUUGUCCGGUAACGGACAACCCAGAGGAAUGGCCGCCACCCACUCUCGACAGAGCGUGGGAGACAGAACCCGGCUUACAGGCCUGCUCCGGUU
rnacentral:RNase_P_RNA from 1 species